rnacentral:rRNA from 1 species
AUUGAACGCUGGCGGCAGGCUUAACACAUGCAAGUCGAGCGGGGUGAUGGUGCUUGCACUAUCACUUAGCGGCGGACGGGUGAGUAAUGCUUAGGAAUCUGCCUAUUAGUGGGGGACAACAUCUCGAACGGGAUGCUAAUACCGCAUACGUCCUACGGGAGAAAGCAGGGGAUCACUUGUGACCUUGCGCUAAUAGAUGAGCCUAAGUCGGAUUAGCUAGUUGGUCGGGUAAAGGCCUACCAAGGCGACGAUCUGUAGCGGGUCUGAGAGGAUGAUGCGCCACAAUGGGACUGGGGCACGGGCCAGACUCCUACGGGAGGCAGCAGGGGGGAAUAUUGGACAAUGGGGGGAACGCUGAUCCAGCCAUGCCGCGUGUGUGAAGAAGGCCUUAUGGUUGUAAAGCACUUUAAGCGAGGAGGAGGCUCUUUUGGUUAAUACCCAAGAUGAGUGGACGUUACUCGCAGAAUAAGCACCGGCUAACUCUGUGCCAGCAGCCGCAGUAA